rnacentral:rRNA from 1 species
UACGUAGGCAGCAAGCGUUGUUCGGAGUUACUGGGCGUAAAGGGUGCGUAGGCGGCCAGACAGGUCCGUUGUGAAAACUCGAGGCUCAACCUCGAGACGUCGAUGGAAACCGUCUGGCUAGAGUCCGGAAGAGGAGAGUGGAAUUCCUGGUGUAGCGGUGAAAUGCGCAGAUAUCAGGAAGAACACCCGUGGCGAAGGCGGCUCUCUGGGACGGUACUGACGCUGAGGCACGAAAGCGUGGGGAGCAAACAGG